GACGGAGGGUGCUAGCGUUGUUCGGAAUGACUGGGCGUAAAGGGCGCGUAGGCGGCCGGUUGCGUCGGAUGUGAAAGCCCGGGGCUCAACCCCGGAACGGCAUCCGAUACGGGCUGGCUCGAGACCGAGAGAGGUGAGUGGAAUACCCAGUGUAGAGGUGAAAUUCGUAGAUAUUCGGAGGAACACCAGUGGCGAAGGCGGCCCACUGGUCCGGUACUGACGCUGAGGUGCGAAAGCGUGGGGAGCAAACAGG
rnacentral:rRNA from 1 species